ACUGCCUCGCAGUACACAGCACAGCCUGGCGCGGCUGCUUCCUUCUCCAUAGGCUGCUUCAGCCUAUGAGAGUGGAUGUGGUAACAAACAGCUCGGAGGUGGCAAUGGCACCACCUGGCCACUGCUUCAAAAAGAAUUGCACAUCUGCAGCCUUAAGCCAGCAAAUCACUGCUGCGAGUCCACUCUGACGGUGCUCAGCUGUCUGCAUGGAAUGGCAUGUGGUUGGCAUGUGGAAGGUUUGGUACAGCUAAUACCUGGAGAUGGCCAGAAAUGUAUAUCAGCUGUAUGGAGCUGAGCACACAGCUAUUCCCCAGGCCAGGCACUUUGCAGACAUCCUGUGUGCAUCACCAGCAAGACAAGGAUGCUGUGCUGAGCACCCAGAGUAUGAUGCAGCACGGAGGCUGAGUGAGCUGAAGGAGCACUUUAGCCCCAUGCUUCCUGGGUGGUUUUGCUGUGCAGGGCAGUUCAAGUGCUGCCUUGGAUCAGAGCUGUGGGCACGCUGUGCUGCACACACUGAAAUCUCCUGUGCUCUUCCCCUUGUUGGACGCGGCUCUUGGAUGCUUGUAUUACAGAGGUGAUUUGUGAUCUG
ensembl:lncRNA